GGUGAUUGUCCUUCCACUGUAACUUUACCUUGUCCUCUUUCUUUGCAUCUUUGUUCUUACAAUUAAAAAUAAAUUUAUUAAAAAAAAAAGACAAUAAUUGGAGAAACACAAAUGUGAACUUAGUUCACAGCACAAGUGGUCUGCUUUGAAAGACCUGGAGAAGGAUUAUAUGUUGAUUUUUAACACCUGGAAUAGUAUUCCUGACUCAUAUAAUCAACUGAAAAAGCUAGUGUUUGCUGUUCUUUCCUUGUUCAAGUCUACAUAUUUAUGCGAACAAUCAUUUUCAAGCAUGAAUCUUAUCAAGAGUAAAUUGAGAAAUUGUCUCAUCGAUGAGAACCUGGAAUCGUGCCUAAAAUUAAAAACAAUAUACAAACCUGACUUACUCAAACUAGCCAAGGAAAUGCAAGGCCAAUGUUCACAUUAGUAUUUGUGACUUUGUCAGUCAUUGUCAGGAUGUAAUUUUCUCUACAUUGUAAGGCAAAUUUUAUGAAAUUUAAUGAUAAAUAAUAUCGUUCUAAAGUUUUGUUUUAUUAGUUGUGUUAUUUGUAUCCUCCAGACCUAUGUGGAUACUUUCAUGCAGAAUAUUCUCAAUAAAAACUUAUUAAAACUAAAAA